rnacentral:piRNA from 1 species
UACUAGAGUGCAUUACUGAU